CACGAUGACAUCAUCACAAGACGCAUUAUAUCGUAAUUACACGCGUACGACAGGCGUACAUGUGACCACCAAUACCACUGCAGGCGAAACUGUCGUUCGGGCUAGUUAGACGGUCGUCCGCUGCUGUCAAAGUGGCGUUAUGAUUUCCAUUACAAUAAUAUUAUUAUAUAUAGUAGACGAAGAACUGCAACGUGCAUUGAUCAUCAAAAGAGACACAUUGCAGGCCAAUGUGCGUAAGACAAUCUCGUAAAACGUUUGUCCACUAUAGAUACAUUAGAGAUACAUUUGGAUAUAUAGAGUGCAGUUUAUCUUCAUACUGAAUAAGUAUAUGAUCUAAAAAAUCGUUGGUAUAGUUUUACAGCAGUAAAUAUGGAACAAAUUAUGUAAACGAUGAGGCCAGAGGAGAAGUAAUGCCAACGCGGUUCCUCUGCCUCUCGAUACCACGGGGAGAAAUAAAGUAACACGAAUUUCGAUACCCAUUCAAUAAAUGUAUAUAUUUAACUGAGGUCAAUAUGAAAAUGAAAAUAAAUUUUUUUUAAAUAAAAGUAUUUUUU